CUUUUUGUUCUUCAGGCUCUCGAGGUAUGAAGGGCAGUUCCUUUUUCAGUGGCCGUCGACAUUGCAGUGGAAACAUUUUUCCUUGUCAUUAGCCCUUUUCUUGUGAACUUCCUUCUUAGGCUUCUUGUCUUUCUUUUGCUUCUUAGCAGGCUUUCUUUUUCUUCCAAGUAGACUUUCUCUUGGAACCAGAAGUCAGCUCAGCAGCCAGAACAGAGCCCCUUGAACCUUUCAAGGCCCCUU
rnacentral:lncRNA from 1 species